UAGUAUAAUUAAAAAUUAAUACAGUACAAUAUAGUACUAAAUAUUGUACAAUAUUGUUAUAAUACAAUGCUAAUACAAUACACAAAUAUUAAAAUAAUGCAAUACAACAUCAUAUAAUACAGUGAGUCAAACGCACCCUGAAAGUAAGAAAUUUUACUAAUUAACUCAACUACACACGUUAAUGAGAACAAACAACAUGAUGUUAGUUACGUGAUUAUUUAUUUUAAAUAUAUCAAUAUAAUCUCAUAAGAAUGUCUUGUUUUAAUAUAAAUAGUUGUUAGAUUAUUACAUUUUUUUAAUUUUUUCUCUUUUUAAAAUUAAUUUAACACAAUAAGUUUUUUGUACAAAUUAGAAGACAAAAUUAGAGAAUUAAUGGCCUUUACACCGGAAAUAUAUAGAUCGUCACCUUUUUCUAAUUCAUGUUUUAAUUGCAUAAAGAAUUAUCUUGUUUCGUGUGAUAUAUAUAGUUUGUCUGUUUUUGAGAAGUAAGUUUAUAAUUUUAGAAGUAGUUGUUUUAAUUUGCAGCUCAGGAAAUUUGCUACCUAAUGGAGGUCGAUUUCCUGUUUUCCAAAAAUUAUUUCAUCCACUAAACAAGUCCUUAAUCAAAUAAUGUAAUUUCUUUUGGGAGAUUGACACAAUUUCCCUUCUAAUGAAAUUAAUAUAUAUCACUUAUUUUCUAUUUUUUCCAUAAUAUCUAAUCACACAGCUGCUACCAUAAUUUUACAGUAGUCUUUUGUUUUUAAAUACAUUUUUAUUUAUAUUGAUUAAAAAUAAAAUAAAUUAUAUGAAUUAAAAUUAAAAAGUUCAAAUCCUAAAAAUAAGAAAUAUAGGUUGUUGUGUUAAUAACAAAUUACUGAUAAGAUUUUUUUAUAUUUUUAAUUUUUUAUAAUAACUAUUAUCUUAUAUUCCUAAAAUAAAAUACCAAAUAAAUGAACUAUUUACACUUCUUUUCUCUUAAGUUUUUAUAACAAAGGAGUUUCUGAAUAUUACAAAAAUGAUAGAGGAUAAAUAAUAUAUAUUAAUUUUAAUAAGAGAAAACUAGCAAUCCUUCCCGUUACUUUUUCUAGUAAUUUGCAAACGUGAUUACAUUAUGGCCAAUGCAUUUUCUUGGGCAGCAAGCAGCCAGGCAGUGUGCGAUGACUGGCGACUCCAGAGUCGUUACGGUGAAGUCAGCCGGAGGCGAUCGCAAAACCUUUUUCAAUCGUGUGAUUUGAAUAAUACGUCAUGUUCAAUGCUCGCCCACGUACGGAAACAGACGUCAUCUGAACAGUGUGAGUGAUUCUGUGUCAACGAUCGCACAUGCACCCGAUUAAUCAGAAAUUUUGGUUGGUGACAUCGGGUUUGCGUGGGCCAUGUUGUCCCCUAUUUGACGUGAGCUCUGACUGCAACUCUACUGUCUUUCUGUAGCUCAUGAAAUUUUGGGCCGUGUCCAAAACAUUAAUAAAAGUCAAGAGUCUGAAAUAUCUAAUUUGUGAAAAAAUGCAUGUGCGUGAGGAGACUUUUUCUUUGAUUGAAAAGUUCCGAUUUCAAUUUGAUUAGUCAAAGAAUUUAUUUUUAUUCUGGGCAUAUACCUAUGAUGAUUUUGUAAUUAGGUUUUAUAACUUAAAAUGCAUCUAUGAAAAUUUUUGAGUAUACAAUCUGUCAUAAUUUUAUUUUUAGACUUAAUAAUUUAAAAUUCGUUCACUAAUUAGAAAAUAUCAGGACUUAUACACUAAUUCAAAUACUUUUUCACUAGCAUCAUAAAAUAUUAUAUUAUUUCACUUUAUCUUGCGUCAUAAUAAGGAUCAAAAGAUAUAUAACGCAAUAAAAUUACACAUCAACUUCAAUAUUAAUUGUAACAACUUAAGUCCGACAACAACUGAGUGGAUAUUUAAUCAUUAGACUUUACUUGAUGUGUACUAAUCUUUUUAAGAUUUGUUUCAUUGGUUACGUGGAAUGCACGUUAGUAUGAUUUGGAAAUCUUGUUAAGCCAGGGAAGUGUGUGGGUGAAAGAAUGCGAAUAACGCGUACCAGUCAUCACAUAUUUAAUUUCAGGAUCCCUCUAAAUUACAUGCAUGUAUCUUACAAUCCUCUCACAUGAAUAGUGAGUGAACCCACAUCAUUCACUAUUCAUGUGAGAGGGGUGUAAGGUACAUACAUGUAACUUAGCAUUAGCCUUAAUUUCAUAUGAAAACUAGUAAAAAUCACUCGACAAAGAAUUGAACACGGAAAGUGAAGCCCGGGGGAGCAAAGUUGUGAAGCCAGUGUCUAAGAAGUUGUCUGAAUAGAAGAAUAGGAGAGUGUUAUAUGACGUGGAUCAUUACUGAAUAGAUAAGAAUUGCCGACAUGUAAUGAAUUAUCUGGCCUGAAUUAAACCAACAAGACACCUGCUACUUUUUACUUUUUAAUUUCAUGCAAGUUGGCAAAUGGGAUCAUUUUGCUUUUGAAACUGCUUUGACUUCUUGUCAAGUAUUCGAUUAGCUGCGGCUACGAGUAACAACAUCACCAAAAGACUCUUUAAAUAAA
rnacentral:lncRNA from 1 species